CUCAGUUCGGAUUGUAGGCUGAAACUCGCCUACAUGAAGCUGGAGUUACUAGUAAUCGCAGAUCAGAAUGCUGCGGUGAAUGCGUUCCCGGGUCUUGUACACACCGCCCGUCACACCACGGAAGUUGGGGGCGCCCGAAGCCACUUAGCUAACCCUUUUGGGAAGCGAGUGUCGAAGGUGAAAUCAAUAACUGGGGUGAAGUCGUAACAAGGUAUC
rnacentral:rRNA from 1 species